rnacentral:rRNA from 1 species
CAAGACUGCGAAGUGGAGCAAAUCCCUAAAAGCCAUCUCAGUUCGGAUUGCAGGCUGCAACUCGCCUGCAUGAAGCUGGAAUUGCUAGUAAUCGCGGAUCAGCAAGCCGCGGUGAAUACGUUCCCGGGCCUUGUACACACCGCCCGUCACACCAUGAGAGUCGGGAACACCCGAAGUCCGUAGUCUAACCGCAAGGGGGGCGCGGCCGAAGGUGGUCCGGUAAUUGGGGUGAAGUCGUAACAAGGUAAC